GCUAAAAUACUCUCUGCCCUUCUCUGCUUCUCAAAUCUCUGCAUCAUUCAAUAUGGGCAUUUGAAUAAGGAAUUCCAUGCAUCUGUGAGCUCCUUCCCCCAGCGGUGGAAUUGUCUUGUCUCCACACUUGACUCAGUUGGAGAAUCACAUUCAGGUCAUCGAGAUGCUUAAAGAGUAGACUCCAGCCUUGGUCUCUCCAGCAAAAAUGAACAGCUAAGCAGCUGGCAGCGAGGGAAAACUCCUCCAAGGCAGUUCAGGAGGCCACUGGAGAAACUUCAGCCACACAGUGGAACAAAAAGCCCUGGGAAUAACCGCACAGAAAGGAAGGAAGAAGAGCUUCCGGUUGCCGGUGUGGUCCCCUUGCCCCCAG